rnacentral:rRNA from 1 species
UACGUAGGAGGCGCGCGUUGUCCGGAAUCACUGGGUGUAAAGCGCGUGUAGGCGGCCUGCCAAGUCUGCUGUGAAAGCGCCUGGCUUAACCGGGCGAGGUCGGUGGAAACUGGCGGGCUGGAGGUCGGUAGAGGGGGGUGGAAUUCCCGGUGUAGUGGUGAAAUGCGUAGAGAUCGGGAGGAACACCAGUGGCGAAGGCGGCCCCCUGGGCCGUACCUGACGCUGAGACGCGAAAGCGCGGGGAGCGAACGGG